GCCUCCUUGAGCUGUGGUGGGCUCCACCCAGUUCGAGCUUCCUGGCUGCUUUGUUUACCUAAUCAAGCCUGGGCAAUGGCGGGCGCCCCUCCCCCAGCCUCGCUGCCGCCUUGCACUUUGAUCUCAGACUGCUGUGCUAGCAAUCAGCGAGACUCCGUGGGUGUAGGACCCUCCGAGCCAGGUGCGGGAUAUAAUCUUGUGGUGUGCCAUUUUUUAAGCCCAUCGGAAAAGCGCCGUAUUCGGGUGGGAGUGACCCGAUUUUCCAGGUGCCAUCUGUCACCCUUUUCUUUGACUCAGAAAGGGAACUUGCUGACCCCUUGCGCUUCCCAAGUGAGGCAAUGCCUCGCCCUGCUUCGGCUCACGCACAGUGCGCCCACCCACUGACCUGCGCCCACUGUCUGGCACUCGCUAGUGAGAUGAACCCGGUACCUCAGAUGGAAAUGCAGAAAUCACCCGUCUUCUGCGUCGCUCAGGCUGGGAGCUGUAGACCAGAGCUGUUCCUAUUCGGCCAUCUUCUGGUGCUACAUUUUAAAAGAGAAAGAAAAACUACAUAUACAGUAAGACAUUCUGUGCUGGGAGGAGAGCAGAGGAUCCAGGGAGCAGAUUGCAGGGAGCUUCACUGAAGCAAGAUGACCGUGAUGCUGGAGAAGAGCCCUUGAGAUGGAACAGGGGAAUCCUGGAGGCUACUUCUUGAAGAUGAGGUUAUCACAAGAUGCAGAAGGAGGCUGAAUUCCUGAAUCACUGCUCGAAGGAGAGCUGUCUGUCCUGGAAAAUGAUGAGAUGAACCCGGUACCUACGAUGGAAGUGCAGAAGUCACCCGUCUUCUGCGUCGCUCACGCUGGGAGCUGUAGACCAGAGCUGUUCCUAUUCGGCCAUCUUCAAAACCUCAGGUACUGAGGAGUCCUUGUGGAAUUCCCCUUUGGAGUUGAGAGUUUCACAAGUUGUACAAUCACAAGGAGGGCACCUGUCUCUUUCUUCGUUUGGGCAUAUUCAACCAACACCUUCUGUCUUCAGCUUGAUGAGUAAGGAAGGACUGAAAGAAAUUCUAUGGCAGUACUGGCUGUGCCUGAGAAACCUCCUGCCACUCAAGCCCAGCAAGGUUCUUGGGAGAACAGUCCAGCAGAAUCAGUUAUCAAGACACAGGCAGGUUACUGAGUAGAUGGAUUGACCAGAGCUUCCUAUAAUACCAAGGAAAGUUUCACGGAGAACAUCUGGAAUUAAGUCAACUUGAGUGGAUUGAAGGAUGCAAAGUAUUUUUCCUGGGUGUGUCUGUCAGGGCGUUGCCAAAGGAGAUCAACAUUUGAGUCAGUGGCCCGGAAGAGGCAGACCCACCCUCUAUCUGGGUAGGCACCAUCUAAUCAGUUGCCAGUGUGGCUGGAAUAAAGCAGGCAGAAGAACAUGGAAGGACUUGACUUGCUGUCUUCUGGCCUUCAUCUUUCUCCUGUGGUGGAUGCUUCCUGCCCUUGAACCUUAGACUCCAGGUUCUUCAGCUUUUGGACUCUUGGACUUACACCAGUAAUUUGCCAGGGGCUGUCUCUCUAGCAUCCUUGCUCCUCAGCUUGCAGACAGCCUAUUGUGGGACUUCAAUUUGUGAUUGCAUGAGUCAAUACUUCUUAAUAAAUUCUCCUCCAUAUAUACAUCUGUCCUGUUUUUUCUGUUCCUUUAGAGAACCCUAAUUAAUACAGAUUUAUUCUCUUCCAGAUUCUUUUUAGAAAAAUUACAGAGAAUAUUGGAUU
rnacentral:lncRNA from 10 species